rnacentral:rRNA from 1 species
UACGUAGGGUGCAAGCGUUAAUCGGAAUUACUGGGCGUAAAGCGUGCGCAGGCGGUUAUGCAAGACAGAUGUGAAAUCCCCGGGCUCAACCCGGGAACUGCAUUUGUGACUGCAUGGCUAGAGUACGGUAGAGGGGGAUGGAAUUCCGCGUGUAGCAGUGAAAUGCGUAGAUAUGCGGAGGAACACCGAUGGCGAAGGCAAUCCCCUGGACCUGUACUGACGCUCAUGCACGAAAGCGUGGGGAGCAAACAGG